rnacentral:rRNA from 1 species
GACGAACGCUGGCGGCGUGCUUAACACAUGCAAGUCGAACGGAAAGGCCCUGCUUUUGUGGGGUGCUCGAGUGGCGAACGGGUGAGUAACACGUGAGUAACCUGCCCUUGACUUUGGGAUAACUUCAGGAAACUGGGGCUAAUACCGGAUAGGAGCUCCUGCGGCAUGGUGGGGUUGGGAAAGUUUCGGCGGUUGGGGAUGGACUCGGGGCUGAUCAGCUUGUUGGUGGGGUAGUGGUUUACCAAGGCUUUGACGGGUAGCCGGCCUGAGAGGGUGACCGGCCACAUUGGGACUGAGAUACGGCCCAGACUCCUACGGGAGGCAGCAGUGGGGAAUAUUGCACAAUGGGCGGAAGCCUGAUGCAGCAACGCCGCGUGCGGGAUGACGGCCUUCGGGUUGUAAACCGCUUUCGCCUGUGACGAAGCGUGAGUGACGGUAAUGGGUAAAGAAGCACCGGCUAACUACGUG